GCCCUUCGGCCCCUGCCUGGCAGCUACCCCAGGCCUCCUGCCUUUGGAAACCGGGUUCUCAGCCCGCCUGACACAUUACGACUCCUAGGGUCUCUGCCUCAUGGCGCUGCUUUGUUCCCACAGCUAAGCGCCCUCACGGGUACGUGAUCGCCAUGUGUGAACACACUGACCAGAGCCUGAGACGCGGCACCACUGUCCACCAUGCUGACAGCCUGAGAACAGCCUGAUCCCUGGGCUUCAGGAGCUGGACUCAGCAAUCCUUUUCCGAUCCACACAGCAGGGAAGACACUGGAAUGGCCUCAGAAUGGUGACAUGAAAUCUUGAGUGUCAUGAAGUCCCUCAGACAGAGACCAAGGAUUCCAGCAGGACCCUGUGACCCCAUGGGUAUUCUUCCCAGAGUAUUCCAUUGUUUGAACCCUAGGACAGCCCCAAGGUCCUCUGUUGUCACAAUGGAAGCUUCCACCAUGCCCAGUCACCUCAGAACCCCCUGCCUCAUAAACAGCUGUUGCCUUUUGAAAAAGAAUAAGAUUCAGCUUCUUAACUGCACUGCCCUCCAAUGUCCAGGGGUUCCUGGACAUCACCUUUUAUUUUCCUGUCCCUCGGGAGGUGGCCAGCUUUGUUUGCGGGUGGUUCACCUGCACUGUAUCAAUUUGAUGGAUUUAAACAAUGCCCAGGGAUCAGCCAAGGACAUUGGUGGGUAUGUCUGGAGCCCCUCAUAGGCGGGGUCCCCUGAGGUUCCCCCUGCACCACAUAGGGAACACAGCACCUCGGCCCGACCACUCUGCCAACCUGAGGAUCCUGUCUUGGAGCCAGCAGCCAUGGACCAAGUUCCCUGAAACUGUGAGGCACAUUACCGUUUCGCCCAGAAAUCAUGGGUGCUGGCGCUGCACCCCCGUGACGGCAAAGCCGCCCGAUACCCACGGUCUCAGCAUCUCCUGCUCUUUCUUUGCUUCUGUUGCACCUGUUUCUCUGUGCUGUGCCCUGGAGCUUCUCUAUCUUACAAUCAGGUCGCUCUGUUAGGAACGUGCUUGGGAAGCCGGCCCGAUGGUACAUACCUGGAAUCCCAGCACUCAACAGCCAGGGGCAGGAGUAUCACUGCAAGUUCAAGGCCAGCCUGAACAGGGGUUACCCUUUCUCAAAACAACAGACAAAACAAAGCCAGAAACCCCUGCUCCUUGGGAAGUUUUCUGGUUCCUGCAGGAAGUCCUCCCUCGGCUGGCUCAAAUUUCCCUCCUUAUCAUCCCCAGCGAGCCACCAGCCUGGGUCCUACUGCUCCAAGGGCAACCGAAGGCUCUGAAGCUUUUUCCGGCCCCAGCCCGAGGGUUUCCUGGUUGGUCUAUGGCUUGUACUGAGCACUGUGUUGGAAACAAGAAGCAACUUCUCCAGAAAUAAUUUGUGUUUGUUUUGCUAGCAGGCCAGGUCUAUACCAUUCUGGGCAGUCUCUGGGGGGCCUAGGAACUGAUUCUAGGCAAUCACUCACCUGACCAUGUGUGGUUAGGUCAUGCUUUGGGGAAAAAUAGCCCAGGUCACCUGAGCAGCUUUUCCACUACAGAUCUGCAGCAGGACAGACCCUCUCCAAACCUGAAGCUCGAACACCCAGAGCAUCUGAGGAGAGGGACAGGGAACCCAGGUCCCCCAGAGGACCUGGACGACCCAGUCCUGUGAUUGCUCUGAGAUAGGAUCUGGCUACGUUGCUAAGGGGCACAGGCUGGACUGCAACCUGGGGUCCUCCUGCGUCAGCCUCUCACAGUGCUGAGUUCACAGGCGUGCACUACAACGCCUAAUUUGAAACAAUACAGUUAAUACUUUUGGAUUCCACUUUUCUGUUUUAAAUGCA